rnacentral:tRNA from 1 species
CAAAUUAAAGCUUAAAAAUUAAAGCAUUUUAUUUACAUUAAAGAGAAAUUGUGAGAUUCAAUAUAAUUUGA